rnacentral:rRNA from 1 species
AGCUCCAACAGCGUAUAUUAAAGUUGCUGCAGUUAAAACGCUCGUAGUUGUUGUCCAACUAUACGUCAUACUUCGCAUGAAGUGGUGAUUCAUUAGUUUAGUAGAAGUUUUUCUACCAAAACCUUGAGGAAAGAUUAGUGUUCCAAGCAAUUCAUGUUUGUCCUCCCCAGCAUGGUAUAUAACCAAAUCGAAGGAGAAGUUUGCCAAUUCUUCAUCAUACUAAAUAGAAAUUCUAGGGGGUAUACGUACUUUAAUGUCAGAGGUGAAAUUCCUAGAUUUUUAAGAGACGAUCAAAUGCGAAAGCAUUCACCAAGCGACUUUUCU